AGAAGCGCCUGAGCCGCGGCGCGGUAAUACAUUAUGCUGGUGACAACCGCGCGCAGGCUGACGAGGGUGGAAGUUGAUCGAAAGAUUCGGCGGAUGCUUCCCGGCUUUGCAGAGAAGCCGCCAAUCGGCAUACAAAAACCGCGGGCGACCGUGGAACAGAAGU
rnacentral:ncRNA from 1 species